GUGUUCAUUUUGGUAGCACAUACACUAAAAUUGGAACAAUACAGAAAAGAUUUAGCAUGGCCCCUGUGCCAGGAUGACAUGCAAGUUUGUAAAGCAUUCCAUAUUUUU
rnacentral:snRNA from 1 species